GAUGAACGCUGGCGGCGUGCCUAAUACAUGCAAGUAGAACGCUGAAGGAAGGAGCUUGCUCUUUCCGGAUGAGUUGCGAACGGGUGAGUAACGCGUAGGUAACCUGCCUGGUAGCGGGGGAUAACUAUUGGAAACGAUAGCUAAUACCGCAUAACAGUAGAUGUUGCAUGAUAUCUACUUAAAAGGUGCAAUUGCACCACUACCAGAUGGACCUGCGUUGUAUUAGCUAGUUGGUGAGGUAACGGCUCACCAAGGCGACGAUACAUAGCCGACCUGAGAGGGUGAUCGGCCACACUGGGACUGAGACACGGCCCAGACUCCUACGGGAGGCAGCUGUAGGGAAUCUUCGGCAAUGGACGGAAGUCUGACCGAGCAACGCCGCGUGAGUGAAGAAGGUUUUCGGAUCGUAAAGCUCUGUUGUAAGAGAAGAACGAGUGUGAGAGUGGAAAGUUCACACUGUGACGGUAUCUUACCAGAAAGGGACGGCUAACUACGUG
rnacentral:rRNA from 1 species